UCCCUCCUCCACCUGUUAACUGCUCCACUCCCUCCAUCGUUUGGGUUCAAAUGCAGUCUUGAACACUUACUAGCUGUGUGACCCUUUUUGCUGCAGUUUUCUAAUCAUAAAAUGAGAUAGAAAAGGAAAUGGCAAAGUACCAGUAUCUUUUCUAAGAAAAUCAUUCCAAGUGGGUUCAUAAAAAGUUGGCCAUAACUGAACUAUAACUACAAUUUGAUGAUGUUGAUAGACUCUUCUUUACUGCCCAUGAGUUCAUCUUCUCAAGAGUUAGGACCCUGGAGGAAUCCUUCAGACAUGACAUUCUCCAACUCAUACACAUAUGGAUGGCUUUGUCAAGAACUUUUGCCUUAGGAAGGACAAUUGUCUGCAGGAUGAUGAGAGCCCCAGCUGUGCAAUGAAUAGUGUUGAAGGAAGCUGACCAGGUGAAGGACUAGCUAGCAGUGUCCAUCCCACAUGGUCUCCCUCCUAGCCAUCAUCUGAGGAUGGAACUCCUAUUGGGAAGAAAUCAGCCAUCCCCACCAACCAACGGCGAUUAACAGGAUAUGCAAGCUGACUUGGCUGAAGCUUCCUGAGGAGGCAAUAUGUGCCAGGCAAGUAAAACCAUUACUACCAUCUUAACUGACCCAACAUCUCAGACCUUGAAGAUCUCCAUCUUCAGACCCUGAUGGAGACAGUCUGGGAUCUUGUACUCAAGGCCCUUGAGAAUAGAUCAUUGGAUCUUGUGAUGAAGAGAACCAUCUACACCCAGAGAGAGGAUUG